UAAGUCAUACUGAUUUAUCUCUGCCUGAAGAGAAGCUCGCGGCUGAUUAGCUAGUUGGUAGGGUAAAGGCCUACCAAGGCGACGAUCAGUAGCUGGUCUGAGAGGACGAUCAGCCACACUGGAACUGAGACACGGUCCAGACUCCUACGGGAGGCAGCAGUGAGGAAUUUUCUGCAAUGGGCGAAAGCCUGACAGAGCAAUACCGCGUGGGGGAUGAAGACUUACUGAGUUGUAAACCUCGGUACCCUAAGGAAGAAGAUAUGACGGUACUUAGGGUGGAAAGCAUCGGCUAACUCCGUGCCAGCAGCCGCGGUAAGACGGGGGAUGCAAGUGUUAUCCGGAUUUACUGGGCGUAAAGCGUCUGCAGGUGGUUUCUUAAGUCUACUGUUAAAUCUUGAGGCUCAACCUCAAAUCUGCAGUAGAAACUAGGAGACUUGAGUAUAGUAGGGGUAGAGGGAAUUUCCAGUGGAGCGGUGAAAUGCGUAGAUAUUGGAAAGAACACCGAUGGCGAAGGCACUCUACUGGGCUAUUACUGACACUCAGAGACGAAAGCUAGGGGAGCAAAUGGGAUUAGAUACCCCAGUAGUCCUAGCCGUAAACGAUGGAUACUCGAUGUUGGACGUAUCGACCCGUUCAGUAUCUUAGCUAACGCGUUAAGUAUCCCGCCUGGGGAGUACGCUCGCAAGAGUGAAGCUCAAAGGAAUUGACGGGGGCCCGCACAAGCGGUGGAGGAUGUGGUUUAAUUCGAUGCAACGCGAAGAACCUUACCAGGGUUUGCUAGAAGUGUUGGUUUUCUGAAAAGGAUUCCUUAUUCCGCUUCUACAGGUGGUGCAUGGCUGUCGUCAGCUCGUGUCGUGAGAUGCUGGGUUAAGUCCCGCAACGAGCGCAACCCUUAUUUUUAGUUGUAUGGUGUAAAAAGACGUCCGGUGACAAACCGGAGGAAGGUGAGGACGAGGUCAAGUCA
rnacentral:rRNA from 1 species